rnacentral:rRNA from 1 species
AACGAACGCUGGCGGCGUGGAUUAGGCAUGCAAGUCGUACGCGAAAGAGGGGGCAACCCCUUGAGUAGAGUGGCGAACGGGUGAGUAACGCGUGAGGAACCUGCCUUCGACAGGGGGAUAACACUCCCAACGGGGUGCUAAUACCGCAUGAGACCACGGGGCUGCAUGGCCCUGAGGUCAAAGAUGGCCUCUAUUUAUAAGCUAUCGGUCGAAGAUGGCCUCGCGUCCCAUUAGCUAGUUGGCGGUGUAAAAGACCACCAAGGCGACGAUGGGUAGCUGGUCUGAGAGGAUGAUCAGCCACACUGGAACUGAGACACGGUCCAGACUCCUACGGGAGGCAGCAGUAAGGAAUAUUGCUCAAUGGCCGAAAGGCUGAAGCAGCAACGCCGCGUGGAGGAUGAAAUACUUUUGUAUGUAACUACCUGUGAGAAGGGAAAAUAAUGCAGAUUUUCUUGCGUUGUAUUGUUACCUUCUAGAGGAA